rnacentral:rRNA from 1 species
GUGUCAGCAGCCGCGGUAAGACGAACCGUGCGAACGUUGUUCGGAAUCACUGGGCUUAAAGGGCGCGUAGGCGGGCUGUCCAGUCUGGGGUGAAAUCCCGCGGCUCAACCGUGGAACUGCCUCAGAUACUGACGGCCUCGAGGGAGAUAGGGGCAUGCGGAACUGUAGGUGGAGCGGUGAAAUGCGUUGAUAUCUACAGGAACUCCGGUGGCGAAGGCGGCGUGCUGGAUCUCUUCUGACGCUGAGGCGCGAAAGCUAGGGGAGCAAACGGGAUUAGAAACCCCUGUAGUCC